UACGAAGGGGGCUAGCGUUGCUCGGAAUCACUGGGCGUAAAGGGUGCGUAGGCGGGGCUUUAAGUCAGGGGUGAAAUCUUUCGGCCCAACCGGAAAAGGGCCCCUGAUACUGGUAGUCUCGAGGGAGGUAGGGGUCGAUGGAACUUCCGGUGGAGCGGUGAAAUGCGUAGAUAUCGGAAGGAACGCCGGUGGCGAAAGCGAUCGACUGGACCUCUUCUGACGCUGAGGCGCGAAAGCCAGGGGAGCAAACGGG
rnacentral:rRNA from 1 species